UGGGGAAUAUUGGACAAUGGGCGAAAGCCUGAUCCAGCCAUGCCGCGUGUGUGAAGAAGGUCUUCGGAUUGUAAAGCACUUUAAGUUGGGAGGAAGGGCAUUAACCUAAUACGUUAGUGUUUUGACGUUACCGACAGAAUAAGCACCGGCUAACUCUGUGCCAGCAGCCGCGGUAAUACAGAGGGUGCAAGCGUUAAUCGGAAUUACUGGGCGUAAAGCGCGCGUAGGGGGUUUGUUAAGUUGGAUGUGAAAUCCCCGGGCUAAACCGGGGAACUGCAUUCAAAACUGACUGACUAGAGUAUGGUAGAGGGUGGUGGAAUUUCCUGUGUAGCGGUGAAAUGCGUAGAUAUAGGAAGGAACACCAGUGGCGAAGGCGACCACCUGGACUAAUACUGACACUGAGGUGCGAAAGCGUGGGGAGCAAACA
rnacentral:rRNA from 1 species